rnacentral:rRNA from 1 species
ACUGCUCAGUAACACGUGGACAACCUGCCCAAAGGUCCGGGAUAACCCCGGGAAACUGGGGAUAAUACCGGAUAGAUCACGAGUACUGGAAGGUUUUGUGGUUGAAACUUCCGGGGCCUUUGGAUGGGUCUGCGGCGGAUUAGGUUGUUGCCGGUGUAACGUACCGUCAAGCCUGUAAUCCGUACGGGUUGUGGGAGCAAGAGCCCGGAGAUGGAUUCUGAGACACGAAUCCAGGCCCUACGGGGCGCAGCAGGCGCGAAAACUCUACAAUGCAGGCAACUGCGAUAGGGGAACAUCGAGUGCUCAUCAUAUUGGUGGGCUGUCCCACCGUCUAAAAAACGGUGGUUAGCAAGGGCCGGGCAAGACCGGUGCCAGCCGCCGCGGUAAUACCGGCGGCUCGAGUGGUGGCCGAUAUUAUUGAGUCUAAAGGGUCCGUAGCCGGCUUUGCAAGUCUUUUGGGAAAUCCAGCGGCUUAACCGUUGGUCGACCGGGAGAUACUACAUUGCUUGGGACUGGGAGAGGUAGGAGGUACUCAGGGGGUAGGAGUGAAAUCCUGUAAUCCUUUGGGGACCACCGGUGGCGAAGGCGUCCUACCAGAACAGGUCCGACGGUGAGGGACGAAAGCUAGGGGCACGAACCGGAUUAGAUACCCGGGUAGUCCUAGCCGUAAACGAUGCUCGCUAGGUGUCACAACAAUCGUGAAUUGUUGUGGUGCCGUAGGGAAGCCGUGAAGCGAGCCACUUGGGAAGUACGACCGCAAGGUUGAAACUUAAAGGAAUUGGCGGGGGAGCAC